UUUCUCCCAGAGGAUCCUGGGAAGCUCCAUUCAUCCUCGCUGAUGAUCAAUAGAGCUGUAAGCCAGAAGUGACUUAUGAAGGAAUAAAGACAGUCUUUCAAGUGGGAGUCUUCCAAGUCAGGCUCAAAAGACCAAUACCAGCCCAAGGGGAAUUGAGAUGGUGCUGUUUGGGCAGCAAAGUGUACUUGUCCCCACCAGAUGAAGGAUGCCUCCACGUUGAGCCACGCCAUUGAUGCUGGCAAGGAAUUUGGUGGCUUCACUGUGUGUCAGCAGAGUCACUUGGGGCCAAGAAUCUGCAGCCUGGCAAACGGAAACGAAGCGAACAAUUUGGCUCCCAUCGGAGCUGUGCUCGGAGCAGUUUUCUCAGCGAUAACGAGCCCUGAUUAAUGAAAGGAGUAAUGUGGGUAGGAACCUGGGAGGUCACGGGACCGGCUGAUAGGAAGAGGAGAGGAGUGGGACAGCAGCUCUGUCACGAAGCGUGGUGUCAGCAUUUCCUUUGAAGAGGCUUGGCAGCGCCCAACUCGUCUGGACGUCUCCUGCCAUCGUGCUCUGACAGGCUUCUUGGCACGCCACCCCCUGGCACGGGCUCAAGUGAUCAGCUUAGAGGUACGGGCUUAGAGCCUGCCGCUGCUGAGCGGGAGCCACAGCCUGGUCGGGUCGGUGGUGUUCUGAAGAAAUGCUUUGUCACUGCUAGUUCCCGUCACGUCUUCCCUCUGGGCUCCGUGUCGCCAGGGGCCCUCCUUCCACAUGAGCACAGGUGGUGUGGGCACAACCAGGAUAACGAGGUGAUGCUGGUUCCUAGAGCAGGAAAGAAGAGGAAGGUUUCAGCUGGUGUUAAUGCGGCAUGGAGAUGUGCUUGCAGCAUCCUUCCCAGGGCCAGGAAACUGCUGAGCUUUGCAGAGAAGACCUCAUGGAAGUAUAGCUUGAGCUAUGUGCUCUGAAUAAUCAUUCACGUAAAGAUGCUGGGAAUUAAGGUAAAGAAUUGUUUUCUCUCAUGGAUUGGACGUGGUCCUGAGCGCUACAGCUGCUAAUGAGGAUAAAUGGAUCCCCAAGCUGGAGAGAAAUUGGUAAAGGAUGUGCAAAAGUAGAAAUAUCGUAUUUUAUUGUAUUCUAGUUUUUUAGAAGUGCAGAGGAUGGAUGAGUAGAAGACAGCUUUUUGGCAUGCUGAGCUCCAAGGAGGCUUCCAGAAUUUGGGAGGGAGGUGGAACAUGUGGCCCAGGACUUCAGCAGAGGCCAAACCUCAAUGUGCAGCUCGGAGCGGGUGGGAAGGGAAGUGAUGGGAGGAUCGUCUCCAGCAGGGUGCUGGGAGAAGAGCCUCAGCAGUAUGACAUGGAGUGUGCCAGGGAACGUGCAGCUGGACAAAGCCCCUCGUGGAGGCGAGAGUAGAAGGCUAACAUGAAGUUCAUGCCAUGUGAAGAUUGUGCCACGCCAUGAGAGGGGCAGGUGGCUGUGAAUCUGGGGCUCAAAACAGCCUCCAGGCUGCCUUCGAGGCAUCUCGAGCUAGGAAAAAUAACACUUUAAAGCAGAGUUUUUCUUGUUGAACAGAGCUGAGCUUGUCCCCUGCUGACUCACUGAAGAAGGGAUGGCAAAAAUGAGGCACACUUCCAAAGGAUAUCUCUUCCUCCUCCCGGCCAGAAGCAGGGCUUGGAAUGGUUUCCAGUAACUCCAGCCUCAAUUCCCACGGCACGGGCUGACCUUGACCAGCAGGGCUGAAGCCAGUGUGUACACAGCUCUGCAAAGCCUGAAGCUCCGUGUGCGCGGGGAAGCAUCUGACACUUGCAACAGCUCAUAAACAUCGGGCUUAGAGCCUUUCUUAUCCACAAGUCACAGCUGGCUUCCUCUGUCAUGUCCUUGGCUUCCUUUGUCAUGUCCUCUGAGAGCUUAAGGCUGAUAUUUCAAGAAAUUCCUUCCCGGAAAGACCUGAGACUCUGGAUCCAAUUACCUCCUUGGUUGUCUAAAACCCCGUAGUCCUGAACAUCUCGCUGCUCUGCCCGGACCAUUUCUAUCACGAGCAGUCCCCGCCGGCAAGCCCUGCAGAAGGUUUUUGCAACACUACAGCAAGAGGCUUUGGUAGGGAUGGGGCACAGCAGCAUCUCUGUUACGAGCCUGACUUAACGUUUAAUGUGCCUCUAGCUUAAAAACUUAUUGCCACCAACAGUCACACUAAUAGAGCUGGAGCUGGUUGGUUAGUACUCACACGCUCUGAGCCUUAGCUAAUUCAGCUGUCGGACACCGCGCAUCAUUCCCUAUCUAAGCCCUUCCCUUUCUGGAAGAGCUUUGGAAACAACAAAUGUGGCUGCACCCCCACGAGAAGCACUGGCUCUGGGAAAUAAAUAGAAAUGGAAAAUGAAAAUAGAUUUUGCUUUCUCCCCGCUGGGCGCUCUUUGGUUCUCCAGCUCAGGGAAGCAGGCUGAGUCCCGAGGUAGGAGAGCGUUUUAAUUGCGAGCGUGCGAAACCUCGGCAGCAGCUUUAUGUGAAUCAAAACAGACAGCACAAGUGUGGCAGCGAUCUCAGCUGCCCUCCGAGAGGCUCUAGCUGCAGACAGCUUUGUUUUAGCUGAUGAGACAGGGGACAGGGCGUGUGUCUUUGUUAGCUGCCGAGCUAAAAAAAAAAAAAAAAAGCCUGCUUCGUGUGCGAAGUCCCUGAGCUUUGGGUGGUGGUGAUGCCUUACAGCACGUGGUGGAAGCUCCUUGAGGUGCUUCUCCUCUUUGCAGGGAAGGGGAGGUGUGCUUAUCUCUGCAAGCAGAGGGUCACAGGCAGUGGGAAGGCUUUUACUCAUUUCUGUCGUAUGCUGGAACGGAGGUGACCAAGCUGGCUGGGGGUGACUGAAUGGUUCAAGGCCUGCCAAUGUGGUCUUUGAGGAGAGCUAUGUCCUCAUUCGCUUCUGUCGUGUGCUCAUUAGCCCAGCCUCUGACCAGCCUUUGCUUUUAGCUUUCGUUAAAUCUGCAGCAGGAAAGAGCAAAUAUGUUACAGCAAUUGCAGGAGAAAGGGCUGGAAGGGGCUGCAGCUCCUAAUGAGCCAUGCAUGCCACAAAGCUGGGACACUGAUGAGGUCCAAGAAGAAAGGUGGGGGUUCAUUUCUGGGGGCAGGUCCAGGGCAGACUGAGCACUGAAAUCCCUGUAGACCUCUCUAGAGAGCCAGCCAUCAUGGUAGGGAAGGCUCCAAGCAAGGAGGAAAGUCAUCUCCCACGUGUCAAGUGUGCUUUUGCAAGCAUGUGAGAGAAAAUUGGUGCACGCAUCUCUG